UUACAGCUACGGAGUUCUCACCUAAAACUUUAAAAAGACUUCAGGAGAGAGAAACACGCCUCUUCCUUCAUGCAGUAACAUUAAGUGAUUACCUACGUCUGAAAAAAAUUCCGAGGGGACUAAGGAUAAACAAAAUACCAAUGAUGGGAAAAGAUAAUGAGAGCUUGUGCGACCGAUGGUGCGAAAUCCUCAACAAAUGCUCCUUGGACCUAAUGGCACUGACUAUCCAGGAAUCUUCACGUCAACUUCAGAAGGUGAGGGAUGAAAUUACAUCACAGAGACAAUUUUCUGAGAAAAUUCCAGAGGAACAACGUAAAAAAUUAUUGGAUGAAUGUGACGACUCAAAACAAACAUUGGAGAAAGAAAUCAAAGACUUUAAGAAGAAGAAGUUUGAAAGGGAUAUGGGCGAUUAUGAACAUGACGUGGUCUACAGAUGGCGCCGACAAAACCCAAAAGGCUUUAAGCCAAGACUGCUCGAAUCCGGAAGUACGACCUCUAUCAAUUCCACCAGCACGAACUCCGAAAACCACAACACUUUUUUAGGAGACGGCGAGUUACCUCGUCAAAAGACAAAACAGGCAAAGAAGAGAGGAAGAAGAAAUGCAGACGGGGAAGGAGAUCAGCCCGCACAGACUCAACACCGGUUACGUCGGAACAAAAUGUGAUCAACCUAUCGACUCGUGAUAAACCUAUGGCCCCACAGGCUUAUGAACAACCCUCUAAUGUUAUGCUACCGGAGGAAGACCAGCAGACAACAUCUCCAGCUUCUACACGGAACGCCACUCCAUUUAGAGAUCUCCGGUGUGGCCAUGGGCUCUAGGAUGUCCCCGAGCUUUGCCUCCUUAUAUGUGGGAUUUUUUGAGCAAGAGUACAUCUUCAACCACCAAGUGAACCCCUUCUUAAAGUUCAUCUCAAAUUGGAGGAGGUAUUUGGACGAUGUUUUCUUUAUUUGGACCGGGUCUGAUGCACAACUUGAAGAGUUUCAUGCCUUUGCAAAUUCUAAGGACAAACACCUGAAAUUCACUAUAGCAGCGGAUAAAGCAAAAAUGAACUUUCUGGACAUACUUAUAAUAAAAGAAAAUAACACACUGAGGACUGAUUUGUACCGUAAACCAACUGACAGAAAUUCUCUGCUACAUGGGACAUCUUACCAUCCAGUUCCCUUGAAAAAGAACCUUCCAAUGUCUCAAUUCAAUAGAAUCAGGCGCAUAUGCAGCUCAGAUCAGGAUUUCACGAUACAGAGCAAAGACUUGGAAAGACGUUUCAGAGAAAGAGGGUACGAUCAAUCAUGGAUAGAUAAUGCAGCUUCACGCUUUACUAAUGUAUCCCAGAUGGACUGUCUUAAAUCUAAACGAUCAGAAGGAAAAAACGAUGGAAACAGAAUUGUGUGUGCUUUUCAAUACUCCCCGAUUGCUAAGACUAUUGAGAGAAGUAUAAAAGAGCAUUGGCAUAUCCUGGACACUGACCCCACUCUUCGGACAUGUCUGUCC